rnacentral:rRNA from 1 species
GACGAACGCUGGCGGCGUGCUUAACAUAUGCAAGUCGAACGGAAAGGCCCUGCUUUUGUGGGGUGCUCGAGUGGCGAACGGGUGAGUAACACGUGAGUAACCUGCCCUUGACUUUGGGAUAACUUCAGGAAACUGGGGCUAAUACCGGAUAGGAGCUCCUGCUGCAUGGUGGGGGUUGGAAAGUUUCGGCGGUUGGGGAUGGACUCGCGGCUUAUCAGCUUGUUGGUGGGGUAGUGGCUUACCAAGGCUUUGACGGGUAGCCGGCCUGAGAGGGUGACCGGCCACAUUGGGACUGAGAUACGGCCCAGACUCCUACGGGAGGCAGCAGUGGGGAAUAUUGCACAAUGGGCGGAAGCCUGAUGCAGCAACGCCGCGUGCGGGAUGACGGCCUUCGGGUUGUAAACCGCUUUCGCCUGUGACGAAGCGUGAGUGACGGUAAUGGGUAAAGAAGCACCGGCUAACUACGUGCCAGCAGCCGCGGUGAUACGUAGGGUGCGAGCGUUGUCCGGAUUUAUUGGGCGUGAAGGGCUCGUAGGUGGUUGAUCGCGUCGGAAGUGUAAUCUUGGGGCUUAACCCUGAGCGUGCUUUCGAUACGGGUUGACUUGAGGAAGGUAGGGGAGAAUGGAAUUCCUGGUGGAGCGGUGGAAUGCGCAGAUAUCAGGAGGAACACCAGUGGCGAAGGCGGUUCUCUGGGCCUUUCCUGACGCUGAGGAGCGAAAGCGUGGGGAGCGAACAGGCUUAGAUACCCUGGUAGUCCACGCUGUAAACGGUGGGUACUAGGUGUGGGGUCCAUUCCACGGGUUCCGUGCCGUAGCUAACGCUUUAAGUACCCCGCCUGGGGAGUACGGCCGCAAGGCUAAAACUCAAAGGAAUUGACGGGGCCUCGCACAAGCGGCGGAGCACGCGGAUUAAUUCGAUGCAACGCGUAGAACCUUACCUGGGUUUGACAUGGAUCGGGAGUGCUCAGAGAUGGGUGUGCCUCUUUUGGGGUCGGUUCACAGGUGGUGCAUGGCUGUCGUCAGCUCGUGUCGUGAGAUGUUGGGUUAAGUCCCGCAACGAGCGCAACCCUUGUUCACUGUUGCCAGCACGUUAUGGUGGGGACUCAGUGGAGACCGCCGGGGUCAACUCGGAGGAAGGUGGGGAUGACGUCAAGUCAUCAUGCCCCUUAUGUCCAGGGCUUCACGCAUGCUACAAUGGCUGGUACAGAGAGUGGCGAGCCUGUGAGGGUGAGCGAAUCUCGGAAAGCCGGUCUCAGUUCGGAUUGGGGUCUGCAACUCGACCUCAUGAAGUCGGAGUCGCUAGUAAUCGCAGAUCAGCAACGCUGCGGUGAAUACGUUCCCGGGGCU